GAGUUUGAUCAUGGCUCAGGAUGAACGCUAGCGGCAGGCUUAAUACAUGCAAGUCGUGGGGCAGCAUGAGUAGCAAUACUUGAUGGCGACCGGCAAACGGGUGCGGAACACGUACACAACCUUCCGAUAAGUGGGGAAUAGCCCAGAGAAAUUUGGAUUAAUACCCCGUAACAUAUAGAGUAGGCAUCUUCUUUAUAUUAUAGCUUCGGCGCUUAUUGAUGGGUGUGCGUCUGAUUAGGUAGUUGGCGGGGUAACGGCCCACCAAGCCUACGAUCAGUAGCUGAUGUGAGAGCAUGAUCAGCCACACGGGCACUGAGACACGGGCCCGACUCCUACGGGAGGCAGCAGUAAGGAAUAUUGGACAAUGGGCGAAAGCCUGAUCCAGCCAUGCCGCGUGAAGGAUUAAGGUCCUCUGGAUUGUAAACUUCUUUUAUUUGGGACGAAAAAAGGGAAUUCUUUCCCACUUGACGGUACCAAGUGAAUAAGCACCGGCUAACUCCGUGCCAGCAGCCGCGGUA
rnacentral:rRNA from 1 species